UACGUAGGGGGCGAGCGUUGUCCGGAUUUAUUGGGCGUAAAGAGCUCGUAGGCGGUUCGAUAAGCCGGAUGUGAAAUCUCCACGCUCAACGUGGAGGGUGCAUUCGGUACUGUCGUGACUAGAGUCAGGUAGAGGAGUGUGGAAUUCCUGGUGUAGUGGUGAAAUUCGUAGAUAUUCGCAAGAACACCAGUGGCGAAGGCGGCUCACUGGCCCGGUACUGACGCUGAGGUGCGAAAGCGUGGGGAGCGAACAGG
rnacentral:rRNA from 1 species